rnacentral:rRNA from 1 species
UACGGAGGGGGCUAGCGUUAUUCGGAAUUAUUGGGCGUAAAGGGCGCGUAGGCGGCCCGGUAAGUCAAAGGUGAAAUCCCUCGGCUCAACUGAGGAACUGCCUUUGAAACUGUCGGGCUUGAGGCCGGGAGGGGGUAGCGGAAUUCCCAGUGUAGCGGUGAAAUGCGUAGAUAUUCGCAAGAACACCAGUGGCGAAGGCGGCUCACUGGCCCGAUACUGACGCUGAGGCACGAAAGCGUGGGGAGCAAACAGG